ensembl:lncRNA
UCCUUUAGGUAGUGUCUCUUUAGGUAGUGUUCUUUAGGUAGGGUCUCCCUGUAUAUCAUACUUCCUGUAUUUUUUAUAAUUCUAUUUUCUAUUAUUAUCUAUAUCAUUAGUAUUAUUAUCAUUAUUAUUAUCACUGCAUUGAUGGGAAAGAGUUCUCAAGGUAAGAAUUCCACUGUACUGUUUUACAGCUGUUGUAUGCUUUGCAGGUGGCGAAUCAACUUUGAAAUUAUGAUUUCAGAUGUCUAAUGUCACGUAUGUUUUGGAUUAUAUUACACUAAGAUUGAGGUUGAGAGAGAUAGAGAUGGCGGUUGAACAAAUACACACACACGCACGCACGCACGCACACACACACACACGCACACAGUGCUAUCAUGACUGUACAUGUAUUGCCUAUGUCAGUGAAUGUAAAUGAGAUCAUAAUAUCCCAAAGGACCACUGAACACUGUUCAUAGAGAGGAAUGAGGUAAUUGGCUGAAAAAUGGUCACAGAGAGAUGAUUGGCUAGGUCAGGGACUCCUUCCUUCCUGUCAGGAACUCCUUUCCUCUCCUCAUUUUUGGAUAUUAAGUGUGUGUGCGUGUGCGUGUGCUCUUGCUGUGUUUGGAUUUUGGCGUCGUCAGCAUUCUCUGUCAAUGACAACAGUGAGGUCACUUCCCUUUCCUCCUGUCCCACCAGCACCCUCCUCCCCAGCUCUCUCUCUCGCUCUCGCUCUCGCUCUCGCUCUCGCUCUCGCUCUCGCUCUCGCUCUCUCUCUCUCUCGUCUCUCAAAAAGUGUGUAGUCUGGUUUCCUAUUUGCGUAAUUGUUAAGACGUUGGUUUCCUGACACUUCCAGGCUCUCCACUCACAGACAUAAUAUCUCUCCCCUCCCUUCCCCCCCAUCCGUUUCUCUCUCCAGGCGUGUGUGAGUCCUGUUCCCUGGUGGUCAGUCCUGCUGGGCUGGUGGUGAAGUAUGGAGCCCCUGCUUCGGCCAACUGCACCUCCGAUACGGUCACCUCUAUGGGCUGGGAGYCGAGCCUAGGAGAAUYUCCGCUCUUUGGCACUGAGGUGAAAGAGCUGACUUGGAGAGUAGACAGCCUGACUGACUGGAAUAUAAAGCCUCAAUGCUUUGAGAUCUCUGAGGUGGGAGGCCAGUGUGCCAGAGUGCUGAAAGUUACUGUUUACAAGACUUCCAGACAGAGUCUCCAUCAGAUAUUUAAACAACUCUGGUCCCGUGGGUUGAGGGGCAUCAGUACUCUCUGCAUUGUCUUGUCCAGAACACCGCUCCUAUUGAGCACCUCAGAGUGACCUUCUUCAAAGUCUCUACCAAUGGUGAACAGACAGUGUUAUACACACAACCAUGAACAAUGACAUUCUACAAUUAACAAGACAUGAGGCAACCGGUGAACGAGAGCUAUUCCCUGCAGUUCUUCCCCACUAGUGUUGAUGACGGGGCCCAGUGGUUUGUUCAGCCAUGUUGGAUCUGGGACCAGAGGGACCCCCGACCUCCUGCUGUAAUGGAAUCAGACCGCCUCAACACAACUGUGCACUGUGAGUCCAUCUGUGAUUCGUGACUCGAUUGGUAAGUAUAUCUGUACAGAUCCAGUACUGUGGGUUAUGAUGGUUGUAAAGAUGACGGGGAUCAAAUGAUGGGGAGUAAUUAUGAGGUCAUGAUGAUGAUUAUAAUAUGGUUGUUUCACUGAAGUUUCGUAUCCCCCCCCCCCCCAGUCGCUCCUGAGUUCUCCUGUUCUUCAAGCUGCAGGUGCGAGCAGGGGAGGGGCUAACUUGUGAUGUUCAGAGGCAAUCCCCUCCCUUCGGUCACCUGGCUGAGAGACGGACCGGUACUGACCCCCC